rnacentral:rRNA from 1 species
UACGGAAGGGGCAAGCGUUGUUCGGAAUCAUUGGGCGUAAAGGGCGCGUAGGUGGCUCUGUAUGUCUACCGUGAAAGCAUACAGCUCAACUGUAUUUUGUCGGUAGAAACUGCAGGACUUGAGGCUGGGAGGGGCUGGUGGAAUUCCCUGUGUAGCGGUGAAAUGCGUAGAGAUGGGGGAGAACACUCGUGGCGAAGGCGGCCAGCUAGACCAGUUCUGACACUGAGGCGCGAUAGCGUGGGGAGCAAACAGG